rnacentral:lncRNA from 1 species
CGCGCUGAGGCCGUGCGUGCGCCCGUCCGCCGGCGGGGCUGCGUGCUCCGCGCGAACAUAGUCCCUCCAUGUGAGCUGGCAGGCGAUUGGAAACCCCUUUGAGUCACGCUGCCCAGCGGCCGGGGGAGCACUCGCCCGCCUGCAGUGGCAGCAUCAGCACCGCCGUCUCUGGCGCGCUCCCUUCUUCUGCAGCCUCCGCUCUUCUGAUUUUCCACCUAGUCCCCUGAGCAAGAGGCAAGAACCGCGCGGAGGGAAGAGGAAGGCUGCGACCGCCCUGCUGUUCCGAGCCCGGCCGGACUGGAACGCGGAGGGGGUGAGGGGAGAAGAGGAAGCCGGAGGGGCUCGGCUUUCUGUGGUGCCUGAGGACAGCCCAUCUCUCUCCAAGCACCCCACGGGGAGACGGACGGCGUCUCUCCGCAGCGAGCUUUUGGAGUACCGCGAGCCCGGGGGCUAAGGAUGGUGGAGGCUCCGCGCUCCGUUUGCGGGGCAGCGCUUUCGCUUUGGCUGGUCGGCAGCAUCCUCUGCAGAGCCUGGACGGCUCCCGCCACGUCCCAUGUGCCUGCUUGUUUCGUUUUAUAUUCUGGGAAAUUCCGAACUAAGAGAAAAC